UUUGUAAUGUUCUUGGUAUUUAUUAAUUAAAUAAAUACUUAAUAUAGGAAAGGGUUUAAUGAAAGACGUGUUCACUGUAGUUGAAGCCAUAGACGGAAGGGAAGGAAAUCUUUAUUCCUUUUUUAAUUAACCAUAAAUCAAAACCAUAGACAAUGACUACCUAACACCUCCCUUACAAAGUAAAUUUUUCAAAAUUAUCUAGUAGACGUUAUACAUUUACAAUCCUUAUAUUUAUACAUUUACAAUCCUUAUAUUUAUCUUAUAUUAUCUAAUACAUUUUUCCUCUGAACACAAAAAAAAAUACAUUUAGUAGACAAUUUUAUUAUUAUGUAUACAUUGUGCUUACAACACUAUGACCAAAAGACAUUUUAUUUUAAGUUGACAACUAUGACAUAAUGACAAGUAACAUUUAAUUUCGAUUUUGACAGUGACUGUGACAAUUGACAAGUUAACAUAUUUAAUUAUUUAUUAAUUAUUAGAUUAACAAAUGUACUGUGUACUACUUAACUAGUAAAAUCUAUCGGGUUUACGAAUUUGACGACCAUAUUUGGAACAUUUUACUGGAGUAGAGGUACUGGACGACAAGGAUGGAUUGCAAUUUGAUGGAGAAUGAUGUGAAUUAGGUGAUGGCUUUGAUGGAACUUGAAUAGUCUGCGAAUAUUUUGGCGAAUGAAUCUGUUCUCUAUUCCUACGAAAUUCACCUUCUGGACUUGAAAUUAUAUAAGAACGUGGCUCUGGGCCUACUUUUGAAAUUAUUCCUGGAAUCCAAGCAUUAUAAGCAUUAUUUGGCUGUUUUUUGAAGUAAACUUUUUCACCUUGUUUUAAAGAAGGAAGUGACUUUGCAUGUUGAUUAUAAUAAAGUGAUGUUUUUUGUUUAUACGUAUCUAUUUGUUGUUUUAAUUUUUUAUAAUUAAUAUAUUUAGGUUUCAAAUUAGAAUCUGAGACAGGUAUCCUAGUUCUAAGUCUACGUGACAUACACAUUUGUGCUGGAGAAUAACCACAGCUUUUAGGAGUAUUUCUAUAUUGUAAUAUGGCAAGAUAGGAAUCUUUUUUAUCAGAAUAACAUUUCUUUAAGAUGUUCUUUAUAGUUCUUAUUGAACGUUCAACUAGUCCAUUUGAACGACUAUGAUAUGGGCUAGAAGUUAUAUGCUGAAUAUCCCAUUCUCUCAUAAAAUCACUCAGUUCUUUUGAAUUAAAUGGAGGACCAUUGUCGCUUAUGACAAUAUUUGGGAUUCCAUGACGUGCAAAAAUAGAUUUUAAAUGAGUAAUGACACUACUAGAAUUAGACGAGUUUAAAAGAACAAUUUCCGGAUAUUUUGAAAAGUAGUCUACGACAAUUAAGUAUUUUUUAUUAUUUAUUUCAAACAAAUCCAUACCCACUUUAUUCCACGCCAAAAGUUUAUAAUCAUGAGAGAUUAGUGGUUCUUUACUAUUGCUACUGCGGAAUGUAAGACAUAUAUGACACUGACUGACAAAUUUUUCUAUGUCUUUGUUAAUGUUAUGCCAAUAAAUUGUACCUUUAGCUAGUCUUAUACAACUAUUUAUACCUUGGUGACCUUCAUGAAUUAAAUUAAGUAAAUAAUUACGCAUAUUGAACGGAAUUAUUAUGCUCGUAUCCUUGAAUACAAUAUUAUCUAUGACAUAUAUUUGAUGUUUUAAAUCAAAGUAUGGUUUGACUGACGGUGAAACACAUCUUUUGUGUUCAGGCCAACCAUUUUGACAGUAUGUAAUUAUUUGACUUAGGACUUCAUCUUUUAUUGACUUUUCUUUAAUUUCUUUUAGUUUUUCUUGACUGACUGAUAAUGUAUUAAUUAACAUAUUUAUAUGCAAAUCUAAUUCCUGAUCUACUUCUUUCAAAGUUUGUUCUGACAAUGCAGCUCUAGACAAUGUGUCUGCUAUAUAUAAAUAUUUACCAGGCUUGUACGAGACUUUAAGAUCAUAAGGCUGAAGUCUUAUCAUGAUUCUUUGUAACCUAGGUGGUAUAUCAUAAAGAGGUUUUUUCAUUAAUGAAACAAUUGGCUUAUGGUCGGUUUCAACUAAUGUUUGACGACCGUAUAUGUAUUGGUGAAACUUAGUACACCCAAACAAUAUAGCUAAGAGUUCUUUCUCAAUUUGAGAAUAAGAUUGUUGACAAAGAGUUAAUGAUGCUGAUGCAUAGGCUAUUGGUUGACUAUUGUGACAAAUGACAGCACCCAUUGCAUCUUUUGACGAAUCGACUGACAGUGUAAUAUCUUUAUUAGGGUUAUAGUAAGUUAAGACUGGAGUUUUCGUUAUAAUUUCUUUUAAACUGUUAUAUUCUGUCUCAUGUUCAUGUGACCACGACCAUUUUAUGUUUUUUGACAAUAAAGACCUUAGACAAGAAGUUUUUUGAGACAAAUUAUCAAUAAAUGGACCUAAAUAAUUGACCAUUCCUAAAAAUCUUUGUAGUUCAUUGACAUUGCUAGGUGUAGGCAUAUCGCAAAUUGCCUUGACUUUACUUUCAUCAACUUUUACACCUUUUUGACUGAAAACAUGACCUAAGUAACUAACUUCCUCUUUACAAAUUACUGAUUUUUCUUUAUUAAAUUUAAUAUUAAUCUCUCUAGCUCUUUUUAAAACAUUUUCUAGACGUUUGUCAUGAGUUUCUUUGUCAGGAGCAUAUAUUAAAAUAUCAUCUAUCAUUAUUUUUACUCCUUCCAAAUCACUAAAUCUUUUAACCAUUUCACUAUGAAAGAUUUCACUAGCUGCACUAAUACCAAAGGGUAGUCUUAAGAAACGAUAUCUCCCCUGGGGAGUGUUAAAAGUACAAAGUUUUGACGAUACUUCAUCCAGCAAUAUCAUCCAGAAACCUUUAUUACAAUCUAAUGUACUGAAAUACCUGGCACCAUUCAAUGUAGAUCUAAUUUCAUCAAUUGUAGGUAAAGGAAAAUGAGGUCUCAUGAGAGCAUUAUUUAAUUUUUUAGGAUCAAUACAUAAUCUAAGUUUUCCAUCUUUCUUUGAAGUAAGUACUAAUGAAUUAACCCAUUCUGUAGGUUCCUCUACUUUUUUAAUGAUAUUUUUUCUUUCUAGUGACUCUAAUUCUCUUUUUAAUUUAUCAGCAAGACGAAAUGGGACUUUCCUACAGGGAUCUAUGGAGGCUACGGCAUCGGGUUUUAAGACAAGAUGGGCUUGAUAAUCUUUUAAACAACCUAUUCCUUCAAAUAAGUCAGCAUAUUUGGACAAAAUAUCUGUUUGUACUAUGUUAGACUGAAAUUUGACAUUAUGAAUUCUUUUGAUUAACUUUAACUUUUGACAAGACUCUUGACCAAUGAUAUUUUUACACGGCAAAUCAACUAUAUGAAAUAUUAUAUCAUAAGACUGGUCAUUACAUAUUACAGGCAAGCUACACAUACCUACAGUUUGUAUAACUUCUCCGCUAAAUGUACUUAACUUAUGAUUACUUUUUUGUAAGAUGUUUGUCGAUAAAUUUAAUUUUCCAAAGUCAUUGAAAGAUAAAAUAUUAGUUUCUGCACCUGUAUCUAAUAUGAAGUUAAUUACAAUGUUAUUAAUUAAUAGUUCAGUUUGAAAUACACUAUUUUUAGUUGAAUCGCACAAUAAAAUUUGACUUACAAAUACUUCUACAUCGGAAUCUGACUGACUGACAGCAUGGACUUUCUUAAUGGUGUGACAUACCUUAGCAAAAUGGUUUGGUUUUCUGCAUAUGUUGCAGAUUACUCCUAUGGCUGGACAACGAAGACGGUGUAUUUGACCACAACGAUGACAUGGAUUGGCUUCUUUUUUCCUGUGGGGACUUUGACUGAUGACUGACGACUGACUGAGGUUGCUUCGUGACUGGCUUCUCCCCGGACUGCUCUUCCGUGAACUUCUAAAAUUGUAAAGAUGUCUAUUAGUUGACUCUUUUUGACUGUAUACCUUUCCGACAAAUGACUGUGACGUAGUAGACUGUUCCCCUUGUAGAAAUUUGGCUUGUUGUCUUGACGUUUCUAAUUUUUUGGAUAGAUCCAGUGACUCCUGAAAUGUUUUAGGAUUAUUGAUUAGAAGUUUUUCCCUGAUGUAGUUGUUAUUAUUGUUUAGAUUCCAUGAGAAUACAUCUUUAAGAAUAUUGUCGCGCAGCUCAUCGAAACCACAUUGUAGGCUGAUGUUUUUGAUGUCUGUAGCAUAGGACGCAAUAUCUUCAUCUUGACCUUGCUUUCUGUUAAAAAGUUUGUGCCUUUCCAUCGUAAUGUUCACCUUGGGAAGGAAAUAUUCUUCAAAUUUCUUUAGGAGUUCAUCGAAAGUGACUACAUCGAUGUCGACGUUAAAUGAAUAAAAUAUCUCUAAUGCCUCGCUGCCGAUGCAUGCUAACAAAAUGGCGACCUUACGUGAUUCCGACUCUUUUUCAAAGUUAUUUGCCCGCAUGUAAAUCUUUAAAUUUGUGGCAAAGUUUUUCCACGUCAGCGGCAUAUUUGACGAAUGUACGCUGAGUUUCUCAAUAUUAUUAAUAAGUGACGAAGACGAUUGUAUAAGAUUAGACUGACCAGCGACCGCCAUGUGUCCGUCGUCUGCAGAUCUUAUUUUUUUCUUCGCUGAUGGCGUCUGCGACAUUUUUAAUAUUCGUCCACUUGUUUACGUUCACUUCUGACACCAUGUAAUGUUCUUGGUAUUUAUUAAUUAAAUAAAUACUUAAUAUAGGAAAGGGUUUAAUGAAAGACGUGUUCACUGUAGUUGAAGCCAUAGACGGAAGGGAAGGAAAUCUUUA
rnacentral:misc_RNA from 1 species